rnacentral:rRNA from 1 species
GGAGGAAAAGAAACCAACAGGGAUUGCCUCAGUAGCGGCGAGUGAAGCGGCAAGAGCUCAGAUUUGAAAUCUCACCUAGUGUGCGAGUUGUAAAUUGCAGGUUGGAGUCUCGGGUUAGACGUGUGUGCAAGUCCCUUGGAACAGGGUGCCACUGAGGGUGAGAGCCCCGUAGCGUGCAUGUCGACACCUGUGAGGCCCUUCUGACGAGUCGAGUUGUUUGGGAAUGCAGCUCUAAGUGGGUGGUAAAUUCCAUCUAAGGCUAAAUAUUGGCGAGAGACCGAUAGCGAACAAGUACUGUGAAGGAAAGAUGAAAAGCACUUUGAAAAGAGAGUGAAACAGCACGUGAAAUUGUUGAAAGGGAAGGGUAUUGGGCUCGACAUGGGAUUUACGCAUCGUUGCCUCUCGUGGGCGGCGCUCUGGGUUUUUCCUGGGCCAGCAUCGGUUUUCGUUGCAGGAUAAGGACAAUUGGAAUGUGGCUCCUCGGAGUGUUAUAGCCUUUUGUAGAUGCUGCGUAUGGGGACCGAGGGCUGCGGCGGACUCGUUUCGUCUCGGAUGCUGGCACAACGGCGCAAUACCGCCCGUC